UACGUAGGUGGCAAGCGUUAUCCGGAAUUAUUGGGCGUAAAGCGCGCGCAGGCGGUUUUUUAAGUCUGAUGUGAAAGCCCCCGGCUCAACCGUGGAGCGUCAUUGGAAACUGGCAAACUUGAGUGCAGAAGAGGGAAGUGGAAUUCCAUGUGUAGCGGUGAAAUGCGCAGAGAUCUGGAGGAACACCAGUGGCGAAGGCGACUUUCUGGUCUGAAACUGACGCUGAUGUGCGAAAGCGUGGGGAGCAAACAGG
rnacentral:rRNA from 1 species